UGAGAUAUGGUGUAAUGGUAGCACUACAGAUUUUGGUUCUGUCUGUAGAGGUUCGAAUCCUCUUAUCUCAA
rnacentral:tRNA from 1 species